UACGUAGGGCGCAAGCGUUGUCCGGAAUUAUUGGGCGUAAAGAGCUCGUAGGCGGCUUGUCACGUCGGAUGUGAAAGCCCGAGGCUUAACCUCGGGUCUGCAUUCGAUACGGGCUAGCUAGAGUGUGGUAGGGGAGAUCGGAAUUCCUGGUGUAGCGGUGAAAUGCGCAGAUAUCAGGAGGAACACCGGUGGCGAAGGCGGAUCUCUGGGCCAUUACUGACGCUGAGGAGCGAAAGCGUGGGGAUCAAACAGG
rnacentral:rRNA from 1 species